UGGGGAAUUUUGGACAAUGGGCGAAAGCCUGAUCCAGCAAUGCCGCGUGUGUGAAGAAGGCCUUCGGGUUGUAAAGCACUUUUGUCCGGAAAGAAAUCCUUGGCUCUAAUACAGUCGGGGGAUGACGGUACCGGAAGAAUAAGCACCGGCUAACUACGUGCCAGCAGCCGCGGUAAUACGUAGGGUGCAAGCGUUAAUCGGAAUUACUGGGCGUAAAGCGUGCGCAGGCGGUUUGCUAAGACCGAUGUGAAAUCCCCGGGCUCAACCUGGGAACUGCAUUGGUGACUGGCAGGCUAGAGUAUGGCAGAGGGGGGUAGAAUUCCACGUGUAGCAGUGAAAUGCGUAGAGAUGUGGAGGAAUACCGAUGGCGAAGGCAGCCCCCUGGGCCAAAUACUGACGCUCGUGCACGAAAAGCGUGGGGAGCAAAACAGGAUUAGAUACCCUGGUAGUCCACGCCCUAAAACGAUGUCAACUAGUUGUUGGGGAUUCAUUUCCUUAGUAACGUAGCUAACGCGUGAAGUUGACCGCCUGGGGAGUACGGUCGCAAAGAUUAAAAACUCAAAUGAAUUGACGGGGUCAUAGCUGUUUCCU
rnacentral:rRNA from 1 species